rnacentral:rRNA from 1 species
UUAAGUCCCGCAACGAGCGCAACCCUCGACCUUAGUUGCCAGCAUUCAGUUGGGCACUCUAAGGUGACUGCCGGCUAAAAGUCGGAGGAAGGUGGGGGAUGACGUCAAAUCAUCAUGCCCCUUAUGACCUGGGCUACACACGUGCUACAAUGGGCGGUACAAAGGGUCGCGAACCCGCGAGGGGGAGCCAAUCCCAAAAAAGCCGCUCUCAGUUCGGAUUGCAGGCUGCAACUCGCCUGCAUGAAGCCGGAAUCGCUAGUAAUCGCGGAUCAGCACGCCGCGGUGAAUACGUUCCCGGGCCUU